rnacentral:rRNA from 1 species
AAACUUUCAACAACGGAUCUCUUGGCUGUGGCAUCGAUGAAGAACGCAGCGAAAUGCGAUAACUAAUGUGAAUUGCAGAAUUCAGUGAAUCAUCGAGUCUUUGAACGCACAUUGCGCCCGCUGGUAUUCCGGCGGGCAUGCCUGUCCGAGCGUCAU